CUCAUAGCCCAAUAGGGGGAGAUAGAUGUGUAAAAACAAAGAGAAAAUAAAGCAGCAGUGUAAUUCACAACAGACAAAACCUGGAUGGCGAAGUGUCCAUCAACUGGUGAAUGGAUAAACAAAAUACGGUACAUCCAUGCAAUGGAAUACUACUCAUCAAUUAAAAGAAAGAAGGACUGAAAUACGUACAGCUGAGAUGAGCUUCAAAAACAUGCUCAGUGGAAGAAACCAGAUAUGAAGAGCACAUAUCGUAGAUAUGAUUCCCUUUAUGUAAAAUGUUCAGAGAAGGUGAAAACCAUCAAGACCCUACUGGUGCUACAGUCACAGUCAGAGCUGCCUCACACCCAUGGAACACCAGAGCAAAGAGUGCAGUCAUCUCCAUCAUGGACAUUUGUUGGAACUUUGGGGAAAUGACCCCCGCAUGCUUUCCGCCUCCCAAAUCUUGAAUGAGCACAUUUCAUUGACAGAAACCUAAUUGCAUACACAAUCCUAUUUGCAAGACAGCCAGUGCUAAGUGGUUUUCUAGCUUGUAAUUGCUGAACUAUAUGAAAGGAAGUGGGAAUAAAUGCUGAGAACCAACAAACAAGGUCCAAUACAUUCACCGAACCUCCCUUUCCUGAGAGAAACAAGCAAGGAUGAGAAAUGAAGAAUGAACCAUAGUAAAUGCUCAAUGAUUUUCAGUAAUAAUUGAGGCUGUGUUCCAGGGAGAUAAAAAUUCAAAAUGCGUGAUACUGUGUUGCUCAUUGUAUGUACUUUUUGGAUGGAUGUCCCCAACAGAUAGCACCUUGUUUCUCUAAUCUGUUUGCAAAGAAGUUGGAAAAUAUUACAAAAAGUAAAAACAUGGAGAUCAAAAUGUUUCAUUCACAAUUCACUAAAAGGUAAACUUUUAUGUGUAGGAUUAUGUUACAGUUGUGUUGUGUAUGAGAGUCUUUUCAUUAUAUCCAGAACUUUAA